rnacentral:rRNA from 1 species
UACGGAGGGUGCAAGCGUUAUCCGGAUUCACUGGGCGUAAAGGGUGCGCAGGCGGCCAUAUGUGUGAGGCGUGAAAGCCCCGGGCUCAACCUGGGAAUUGCAUUCGAGACUGUGUAGCUAGGGUACGGAAGAGGGAAGCGGAAUUUCAGGUGUAGCGGUGAAAUGCGUAGAUAUCUGAAGGAACACCAGUGGCGAAAGCGGCUUCCUGGUCCAGUACCGACGUUCAGGCACGAAAGCGUGGGGAGCAAACAGG